rnacentral:tRNA from 1 species
GCCAGUGUGGCUCAGUAGUUGGAGCACCAGCCCACGCACUGAAGGGUCCCGGGUUCAAAUCCCGGGCAAGGGCA